rnacentral:rRNA from 1 species
GAUGAACGCUAGCGGCAGGCUUAAUACAUGCAAGUCGAGGGACAGCACAGGUAGCAAUACUGGGUGGUAACCGGCAAACGGGUGCGGAACACGUACACAACCUUCCUUUAAGUGGGGGAUAGCCCAGAGAAAUUUGGAUUAAUACCCCGUAAUAUAGUUGAAUGGCAUCAUUUGAUUAUUAUAGCUACGGCGCUGAAUGAUGGGUGUGCGGCUGAUUAGAUAGUUGGCGGGGUAACGGCCCACCAAGUCUACGAUCAGUAGCUGAUGUGAGAGCACGCUCGGCGACACGGGAACUGAGACACGGGCCCGACUCAUACGGGAGGCAGCAGUAAGGAAUAUUGGUCAAUGGACGCAAGUCUGAACCAGCCAUGCAGCGUGAAGGAUUAAGGUCCUCUGUAUUGUAAACUUCUUUUAUUUGGGACGAAAAAGGGCCUUUCUAGGUCAACUGACGGUACCAGAUGAAUAAGCACCGGCUAACUCCGUGCCAGCCGCCGCGGUAAAAC